rnacentral:lncRNA from 1 species
CUUCCAGUCUUUUGUUCUGCACUUCAGGGUGUUGGCUCCCGGGCCUGGUGCCAGGCUCCACCUGCACCUGUCUCUGAUCUGCCACCACUGUCCGGCAGGUGGAGGUGGCAGCCUGGAGUUGCUCCAGGAGGACCAUGGGAGGAGCCAGGGAGGGUCAGGCCCUUUGCCGGCGUGGCAGAGCAAGGACACAGCCACACAGGGCUUGACGGAGACAGCCCCAGCCUGGCAGCUCUCGGGGUGCCAAGCCUCGAUCACCUGUCACCCUCUCAGCUCCAGGCCAGACCUCAGCACAGGGACAGGCCGGUGCUGAUGCUGCGUCUCCCACCUGGAGAGGAGCCUCCUGCCCUCCGCCCUCUCAGCUCCUGGAGGGCUGGGCCGACAGGAAGUCCGCUGAGAGACCCCGCACCCACGACUCCCGUUGCACCUGUGUCUCUCCUAGACUUGAAAAUCAAUCUGAUACUGGUUGAUUUGACUCUGAAAUAGAGUUUAUCCGGCUCUCUAAGGCCUAAGGCCCAGAGCAGGGCCUGGUACUGAGCAGGCACCAAUGACUUAAAUAAAAAUGAUGACGGAUUGAUAAUAACAAAAGACCCACUGUCACCCUGGCAUCAGGCCCUCCCGGGGCUGGGCGAGGUCCCAGGGUUCCUGUUACUAGGGCCCUAGACUCCUCCAGGGUGACCUGGCUGUCCCUGCCUUGGUGCAGACCCUGACAACAAGCCUGGGGGCGGGGAGGCUGGCGCUCAAGGGAGCAGUGGGACGGCUCAGUGAGCCCGGUAUUCAGUGUUUCCUGUGCUCGGGCUGUCCAGGAAGUCUGGGUUCCAGCUUGGGAUUCAUGGGCCACGUGACCUUGGGCAAGUCACUAACCCUCUCUGUGCCUCAGUCCCCCCAUUGCGAGUCUGAAUUCUGGAGAAGCUGCCCCUUCUGAGGAUGGUGCCUUCUCUCUGGGAGCCCCUUCUGGCCCGCAACAGCCUGAGUGUCCUCGGUCAGGACCUUCUGCAAGGCUGGGGAUCAAGGCCGAGUAGAGCCUUCAAGACGCUAAAACCGGCCACCACCUGUCACUGCCGCCUGCCAGCUUGGAGCAGCAGUCCCAGAGCAGGCAGCUUGGGCAUCUGGUCCAGCAUUUGAGGAGGGAGCCUAGCCUGGCCUCCCCAGGCCUCAG